GGCCCGCACAAGCGGUGGAGUAUGUGGUUUAAUUCGACGCAACGCGCAGAACCUUACCCAGCCUUGACAUCUUAGGAAUACCUUCGAAAGUUGGUAGUGCCUCCUCACGGAGGAACCUAAUGACAGGUGCUGCAUGGCUGUCGUCAGCUCGUGUCGUGAGAUGUUCGGUUAAGUCCGGCAACGAGCGCAACCCCUAUCGUUAGUUGCCAGCAUUCAGUUGGGCACUUUAGCGAGACUCCCGGUGUUAAGCCGGCGGAAGAUGGGGAUGACGUCAAGUCCUCAUGGCCCUUAUGGUUGGGGCUACACACGUACUACAAUGGUAACUACAGAGGGCAGCAAGACCGCGAGGUGGAGCCAAUCCCAAAAAAGUUGCCUCAGUUCGGAUUGGAGUCUGCAACUCGACUCCAUGAAGUUGGAAUCGCUAGUAAUCGC
rnacentral:rRNA from 1 species